ACAAGCACAGCACGCGCGCCAGCAAACGCCAUCACAGACGGAGUCACUUUUCUGGAUAGUUAUAAAACCUACUGUCCAGAAAUGAAAUUUCAUAUUUACUUUUCUGAACAGUUGUAAUACUUUCGGGAAGUUUAACUUUUGAACUAAUCUACAUGGUAUGAAAUGUGCACAUUUCAUAUAAUUUUUCAGAAAAUAUACAUUUUCUAUAGAGACCUUAGAUAUCAGUGGUUAACGUAGAGCAGUUUUUAAAACCUGUCAAACACUGUAUAGUUUUAAUGACGGUUGUUUGUAAACUGUGUGUUAAAUGGAUGUAGUGUGAUGUGAUGCGAAUUAGGUGCCCACAACACAAGAUUACCUAGUGUGGGUAUCAUU